GUUAAAACUUUUCUGUCAUUCCAUGUGAUAGCUGAUGUCGUGUUCAUGGUCUGUUGCUGAAUAAACCCAAUUAAUUCAUCUUUAAUGGCAAUUGAAAAGCCAGUUUGUUCAAGAUUUUCGCCUGACCAAAUUAUUACCACUCCAACGAAGACAAUACUGAGACAUGCUAAAUUUACACAAGCUUCGACCGUCCCAGGAAAUUCAGGACAUAGGAAGGUGGUUAAAAUAAUUCAAUACCUAAUAAUAUUCAAUUGAGUUGAGGACAAUAAUAUGAAAGAGGAUUAGUUUCCCCGCCAUCCAAGGGUAUCGGCCAAAUUGGGACCUGAACUACGAUCUUUUCUCCAUUGGAUUUAUGGGCUCCUGUGUUUGUAUUAAAUAUGUGACUUCAAUUCACAAUGAAAAUACAAAUCCUUUGCGUGCA